ensembl:misc_RNA predicted gene, 26167
UGUGAGGGUGAUCCUGUCCCUUCCUCCCUCACUGCCUCAAUUGUGUCACUUCUAAAGCUGUGUAGUUGUAAAAAGAAAGCUCUUCCCUAACAGAGGAGGGCUGGUCUUUGCAAGGGGAUAUGAGUAGCUUGCACACCCCUGCUUGCACCUCCAAGCUAGCUCUUAGCAUGACUGAUCUGCACUUCUGGGUUUAACUGGGUGGUUCAUUUUAUUGAUUGAUUGUACUUGUGACUGGCCUUAGGGGGCCCGAUAA